UUCCGUUCCUUUCUUUUUCACACAAAUCCUCAUAUCUCCUUCACACCGUCCAAUUUUUUUCUUCCUCCGUUUGUUCUCUCUCCAAGAAGGCUUUGCUAGGGUUUCUUUGCUUUGGAUCUUCCUCGCCAUUAGCGUUUGUUUUCUUUAGUUUGUAUUUCUCUGAAACGAAGAAACAAAGCGUGGAUGUUGUAAUGGAGACCAAAGGUGGCAAGAAGAAGUCUAGCAGUAGUAGUUCCUUACAAUACGAAGUCCCCCUUGGUUACAUCAUUGAAGACGUUCGUCCAAACGGUGGCAUCGAGAAGUUCCGAUCUGCUGCUUACUCCAACUGCGUGAGGAAGCCAUCCUGAUACAUUCCCCCAUCCCCAAUCGGAUUCGAAGGAUUCGAGAAACGCCUCCAGAUCACUUUUUCAGAGGCACCCAUUUUCAUUGAUCCUCGGGGACUCGGCCUCCGAGCCCUGACUCGCUCCCAACUGGACUUAAUCCUUGACGCCGCUUGUUGCACUAUUGUGAACCAUUUAUCCAAUUCGGAGCUGGACUCGUACGUUCUCUCCGAGUCCAGUCUAUUCGUUUAUCCUAAUAAGAUCAUCCUCAAGACUUGUGGGACGACAAAGUUGCUUUUGUCCAUUCCACCGAUUCUUCAACUCGCUGAGUCACUCCAGCUCACCGUUGUCUCUGUGAAGUACUCACGUGGCAGCUUUAUUUUCCCAAAUGCCCAACCUGCCCCUCAUCGCUCUUUCUCAGAAGAGGUCGCGGCUCUCAAUGUCUUCUUCGGAGAUCUCUCCCCCAAGGCAUAUGUCAUCGGCGAUCCCGCCAUUCCAAAUCGCAACUGGCACAUUUACUCGGCGUCGAAGGAGGUGCGCAGAUCUCCGUUGGUGAGAGAAGAGGUGGCUGUGAUCACUGUGGAGAUGUGCAUGACUGGCCUAGAUAGGGACAAGGCCUCCGUGUUUUUCAAGAAAUCGGGAGAGGAGGACUCGGCAAAGGAAAUGACGAAACUGUCCGGAAUAAGUGACGUGAUGCCCACGCACGUGAUAUGUGAUUUCGAGUUCGAUCCGUGUGGGUACUCGAUGAACGGUGUGGAAGGCGGAGCAUUGUCGACCGUCCACGUCACCCCGGAGGAGGGGUUCAGCUAUGCCAGCUAUGAAGCCAUGGGGUUCGACCCUGGGUCGGUGGGAAUGAAGACGCUGAUGAAGAGGGUGCUGGCGUGCUUCGGCCCAUCCCAGUUCUCAGUGGCGGUCACGUGCCCCGCGGGGGACGACGAAAGGUGGGCCAUGGAGGGGUGUGGUGAGGUGGAGGGAUACGCGUGUCAAAAUGUGGUGAAGCAGGAGCUUUCAAGCGGAGAAGGGUGCGUGGUGUACGUGACAUAUGAAGCGGAGGAGAAGGGGUGCGCGGUGAACUCACCGAAGUCGGUUCUGCAAUGCUGGAAGGAUGUGGAAGUGGAGGAGGGGGAAGGUGAGGGGUGGGUGUCAGUGUCUUGUUGAGUGUGUGGUUCGGUCAACUUUGUCUUUAGUGUUUUAAUGUUUUGUGAAGGGCGUGUGUUAUUGAUGAAUAAAAAAGGGGGUGGGGUGUCUGGCUCUGCUCUAGUGUUGGCUUGGUAA